AUUGAACGCUGGCGGCAUGCCUUACACAUGCAAGUCGAACGGUAACAGGUUAAGCUGACGAGUGGCGAACGGGUGAGUAAUACAUCGGAACGUGCCCAGACGUGGGGGAUAGCUCGGCGAAAGCCGGAUUAAUACCGCAUAAGCUCUGAGGAGGAAAGCGGGGGACCGUAAGGCCUCGCGCGUUUGGAGCGGCCGAUGGCAGAUUAGGUAGUUGGUGGGGUAAAGGCUUACCAAGCCUACGAUCUGUAGCUGGUCUGAGAGGACGACCAGCCACACUGGGACUGAGACACGGCCCAGACUCCUACGGGAGGCAGCAGUGGGGAAUUUUGGACAAUGGGCGAAAGCCUGAUCCAGCAAUGCCGCGUGCAGGAUGAAGGCCUUCGGGUUGUAAACUGCUUUUGUACGGAACGAAAAGGCGCCUACUAAUACUGGGUGUUGAUGACGGUACCGUAAGAAUAAGCACCGGCUAACUACGUGCCAGCCGCCGCAGUAA
rnacentral:rRNA from 1 species